rnacentral:lncRNA from 1 species
GCUCAGUCAGCAGGGUGGGCGUGGCCUUCUCCCUGCCUGCAUCUGAAAUGCAGUUUAAAGGUCAGGAAGACUGAUCUUUCGCUUCUGAAUCCUCUGAGAGUUCCUCAGGCCCUCCUGUGUGAGGCCCAGCUGCUUCCUGCCUGGUCUUCCUGGAUCCACAGAGCCCAUCCCCUCCCCACCGCAGUGGGGCUGCAUGGCCUCACCUUCUCUGCCUCCUCACGGCUCAUGGCGAGGGCCAGCUGCAGCUGCAGUUCCUCUUCCCCUGACGUCUGAGGCCGGGCCUGCUCCAGGUCGGAGGUAUAGCGGGGUGACGAAGAGGAGGCUGCAAUGACCAUCAUGUCUCUGUGACCACACGAUUACCCAUCGGCUCCCACACCCCUCUGCCUGCCAGGAAGCUGAGGCUCAAGAGAACUGAGAGGAGGGGAACAACGGCCGUUGAGGCCCCCGUGGGCCAAGCAGUGUGCCAGGCACUCUAUCAAACAAUGGAGGUAGGUGAGCUUAUCCCCACUGUACAGAUGAGGAAACUGAGGUUCAGAGAACUGGUUGCCCAGGUCACACAGCUUGGAGGAAGCAGAAUAUAGAAUGCUAUCUGACUCCAAACCCAUGCUUCCACUAUCGCGCCAUCCUAUCAGGCAGCUAACGAAUGAUAAUGAAUCUAUAACAACGUUAUUAUCUGAGCUA